ACGGCAGCGCGGGGGCAACCCUGGCGGCGAGUGGCGAACGGGUGAGUAAUACAUCUGCAACGUGUCCUGGAGUGGGGGAUAGCCCGGCGAAAGCCGGAUUAAUACCGCAUACGCUCUGUGGAGGAAAGCGGGGGAUCUUCGGACCUCGCGCUCAAGGGGCGGCCGAUGGCAGAUUAGCUAGUUGGUGGGGUAAAGGCCUACCAAGGCGACGAUCUGUAGCUGGUCUGAGAGGACGACCAGCCACACUGGGACUGAGACACGGCCCAGACUCCUACGGGAGGCAGCAGUGGGGAAUUUUGGACAAUGGGGGCAACCCUGAUCCAGCAAUGCCGCGUGUGUGAAGAAGGCCUUCGGGUUGUAAAGCACUUUUGUCCGGAAAGAAAACCGCUUCUCUAAUACAGGGGCGGGAUGACGGUACCGGAAGAAUAAGCACCGGCUAACUACGUGCCAGCAGCCGCGGUAAUACGUAGGGUGCAAGCGUUAAUCGGAAUUACUGGGCGUAAAGCGUGCGCAGGCGGUUCGCUAANACCGAUGUGAAAUCCCCGGGCUUAACCUGGGAACUGCAUUGGUGACUGGCGGGCUAGAGUAUGGCAGAGGGGGGUAGAAUUCCACGUGUAGCAGUGAAAUGCGUANAGAUGUGGAGGAAUACCGAUGGCGAAGGCAGCCCCCUGGGCCAAUACUGACGCUCAUGCACGAAAGCGUGGGGAGCAAACAGGAUUAGAUACCCUGGUAGUCCACGCCCUAAACGAUGUCAACUAGUUGUCGGGUCUUCAUUGACUUGGUAACGAAGCUAACGCGUGAAGUUGACCGCCUGGGGAGUACGGUCGCAAGAUUAAAACUCAAAGGAAUUGA
rnacentral:rRNA from 1 species